ACGUAGGUGGCAAGCGUUGUCCGGAUUUAUUGGGUUUAAAGGGUGCGUAGGCGGUCCAUUAAGUCAGUGGUGAAAUACGGCAGCUUAACUGUCGAGGUGCCAUUGAUACUGGAGGACUUGAGUACAGACGAGGUAGGCGGAAUUGACGGUGUAGCGGUGAAAUGCUUAGAUAUCGUCAAGAACACCGAUAGCGAAGGCAGCUUACUAGACUGUAACUGACGCUGAGGCACGAAAGUGUGGGGAUCAAACAGGAUUAGAUACCCUGGUAGUCCACACUGUAAACGAUGAUUACUCGAUGUUGGCGAUACACAGCCAGCGUCUUAGCAAAAGCGAUAAGUAAUCCACCUGGGGAGUACGCCCGCAAGGGUG
rnacentral:rRNA from 1 species